rnacentral:rRNA from 1 species
AUUCCAGCUCCAAUAGCGUAUAUUAAAGUUGUUGCAGUUAAAAAGCUCGUAGUUGAAUUUGUGGUUUACCAAGUGUUCCUAGCACUUGUUGUUGGUGAAGUACUUGGUAUCCAUCCUUGGGUGGAAUCUGUGUGGCAUUAGGUUGUCGUGCAGGGGACGCCCAUCUUUUACUGUGAAAAAAUUAGAGUGUUCAAAGCAGGCUUAUGCCGUUGAAUAUAUUAGCAUGGAAUAAUGAGAUAGGACCUUGGUACUAUUUUGUUGGUUUGCGCACCGAGGUAAUGAUUAAUAGGGACAGUUGGGGGUAUUCGUAUUCCAUUGUCAGAGGUGAAAUUCUUGGAUUUCUGGAAGACGAACUACUGCGAAAGCAUUUACCAAGGAUGUUUUCAUUA